rnacentral:rRNA from 1 species
GCUUAACACAUGCAAGUCGCACGAGAAGUCGUAGCAAUACGAUUGUAAAGUGGCGCACGGGUGAGUAACACGUAGAUAAUCUUCCUUUUAGAGGGGGAAAACCGCGGGAAACUGCGGCUAAUUCCCCGUACGCUUGAGAUGUCAUCAAGGCAAUUCAAGGAAAGCGGCCCUCUGAUCUAAGGUCGCGCUAAAAGAUGAGUCUGCGUCCCAUCAGCUAGUUGGUGAGGUAACGGCUCACCAAGGCUUUGACGGGUAGCUGGUCUGAGAGGACGACCAGCCACACUGGGACUGAAACACGGCCCAGACUCCUACGGGAGGCAGCAGUGGGGAAUAUUGGACAAUGGGGGAAACCCUGAUCCAGCAAUACCGCGUGGAGGAAGAAGGCCCUUGGGUUGUAAACUCCUGUCAUAGGUGAAGAAAAUUUGCGGGUGAAUAACUUGCAAAAUUGACGGUAUCCUAAGAGGAAGCACCGGCUAACUCCGUGCCAGCAGCCGCGGUAAUACGGAGGGUGCAAGCGUUGUUCGGAAUUACUGGGCGUAAAGCGUGUCUAGGUGGGAAUAUAAGUCAGGUGUGAAAGACCAAGGCUCAACUUUGGAACUGCGCCUGAAACUAUAUUUCUUGAGUUGUGGAGAGGUGGGCGGAAUUCCUGGUGUAGCAGUGAAAUGCGUAGAUAUCAGGAAGAACAUCGGAGGCGAAGGCGGCUCACUGGCCACAUACUGACACUAAAGCACGAAAGCGUGGGUAGCAAGCAGGAUUAGAUACCCUGGUAGUCCACGCUGUAAACGAUGAUUACUAGGUGUUGGAGGAUUUGACCCCUUCAGUACCGCAGCUAACGCAUUAAGUAAUCCGCCUGGGGAGUACGGUCGCAAGAUUAAAACUCAAAGAAAUUGACGGGGGCCCGCACAAGCGGUGGAGCAUGUGGUUUAAUUCGACGCAACGCGAAGAACCUUACCUGGGUUUGACAUCCGCGGAAUCCGCCAGAGAUGGUGGAGUGCCUUCGGGAACCGCGAGACAGGUGCUGCAUGGCUGUCGUCAGCUCGUGUCGUGAGAUGUUGGGUUAAGUCCCGCAACGAGCGCAACCCCUAUCUUUAGUUGCUAACAUUUAGUUGAGCACUCUAGAGAGACUGCCCCGGUUAACGGGGAGGAAGGCGGGGACGACGUCAGGUCAUCAUGGCCCUUACGUCCAGGGCUACACACGUGCUACAAUGGAGAGUACAGAGGGUUGCCAACCCGUGAGGGGGAGCUAAUCCCAGAAAACUCUUCUAAGUUCGGAUUGAAGUCUGCAACUCGACUUCAUGAAGUUGGAAUCGCUAGUAAUCGCGGAUCAGCAACGUCGCGGUGAAUACGUUCCCGGGCCUUGUACACACCGCCCGUCAC